ensembl:lncRNA
CCUGGCUUUGGAAUGUAAGUGAGCAGGUUCAGCUUUGCUUUUCUUGGAAAUAGCAGCUGCGACCCUGCACUAAAUGUAUCACAAAGGUGUUGUUAAGGGAGAGAGUGGCUAGGCCUAUGAAGAAUAGAUGGAGGACUAUUUGAACCAUACGACACCGCACAUCUCGCCAUCACCGAACACAAAACAUUUCCAUGGUUACUACCUUGUCAUCCCAAUCGUCCUGGUCACUCUGGUUGCACUGGCAAUGAUAAUAUACUACAAGAGAAAAUACCAGUCUGAUGAGCUGCGGCACAGACUGAUCCCCAUGUACACAUAUGACCCCGCAGAACAAGAUGACAAUGAUUUAGACUAUUUCAGUGAGGAUGAGGGAGUGAAG